GGUGGGGGGGGGGGGGGGACAGGUGGUCUGUUCGCUGUCCCCUGCUGACCGCAGGCAGGUGAGCGGCGCAAGAGUGAGCGCCCGCUUCUGAUUUCUCGUGGCGCGGGACCCGUUUUAAAGUUCAUUUCUUUCGAGUCCGAAUCCAGGAGCUUACACAAAAUGCCAUUUGUAAGACCGAAAGAAUGAGUGAGAUGAGAUCUAGCCCGAUUCUCUUUUAUAUUACGUCCAUGCUGGGGGUUUGAGGUCUCAUGUUCGUUACUGCCGAUUCUCUCGUUAGUUCUUCGUACCCAGUUGCUCACCAGGUUCCCUGGGAUUAAAAAAAAAAAAAAAAAGAGGAGUGGCAUGGCGGUACACUUCGAGGACGUACGGUUCCGAUUUGAAUAAGUUGCCCUUAAGAUGGAAGGGAAGUGUUUGUGAUCCAAACGUUGUUUGAGGGCUCCGACUGUGUGUGUCACCGUGAUGGGUUGCUCGGCCUUAAAUGUUCGUAGGCUUUAGUGUGCGGCUGUUCUGGGGUUAGGCUAGACGGUUACGCUAGCCUUCUGCUUUCCCGUAUGUCUGCUGUUUAUACCAGUGCGUCGUGAAAACUCAGGGCCGAGUGGGAAGUGGUGUUUGUAAAAGCAGUCCCUGGGCAUCCCAGAAUGAUCUAGUUCGUCCCCAGACUGAGGCCACAGCUAUCCAGAGGGCUCUUGUGACAUGCACUUAAGAAGAGCCACCUGAGCUAGACCGAUCCCAACAGGAUGAAAUGAAAAAUAGUUACAGCACCCAGUCCUCUUGCAAGUGGCAAACCCGGGACGCGUCGGGUUGUGGCUCUGGGAUCUGUGCGGCUCUCCACUUGGUUUGGACCGAGUUCUGCACGUGAAAGAAUGCUUUGCUUCAGGAAGUUUCAGGGUCGGUUUUUAAAUGAAAAUAACCACCUUCCAAAAAAUUGUACAGAAAACUACCCCUGCGACUAGGCCCAGAAUAAAUUAGCUGUCAGUAACAAUAGCGUUCAUCUGUUGAAUGUGAUUGGAAAAUGAUGUUUGAAUCCGUUAAAAUUGACUAGAUUUAGGUAUUUCUUGAAGCUGCUUCCCGAAAGUGAUAGCGAUCAUAGGACUGAUUCUCUUCCGCUUUUGAUAAUGCUUGGUCUUAUUUCCUCUGAAGUGGGCGUUUACUCCAGACGUGGUACCAGUCUCAUUUAAUUCUGUCAGGAGAUUAUUCCCACGCCAUUCUAAUGCCACAGUGGCUUCGAAGUGCAUCUUGUGAAGGAACACGGUUACAUUGAAACCACACGUCUUAACCUGUAGGUGGGUUUUGUCCAGAAUAUCAAAAGGUGACAUGAAACAUAAGGAAAGGGAAAUGAAUAUGAACUGGGAAGUGCUGGGUGCGAGUGUGGGUGGCGGGGACAUUUUAUUCUUUCCCUCCUUUAAUCCUCAAUAUCUCAUGGCAUGGGUGUCUCUACAGAUGUAGGAAAUGAGACUGAGCACAUAGGUCGUCCUUUGGUCACACAAUGGUUGAGUGGCCGCUGUACUGUGACCCGCGCCUUUAUAGUCUCCAGGUAACCUUGAGUGCAUCAGUGCAACUGUCAUUGUUCCACGAUUGGGGAAGGGGUUUCGGUGGGGAUAAGUGGUUGCCCUUUCUGGAGAUCGUAACUUGACUUAGGCUUUAGGCCCAUCCUUUAGAGAGCAUACCCCAGGAUUUCAUGAAGUUACACAUUCUGCAACAAGUAAGGCCCAGUGCUUGACAAAAUUUUAAAAUAUUCAGUAGCGAAAGGUCUUCCAUAGGGCCUGCAUUCAAUGCUUCUAAGUUUGGGACGCCUGGGUGGCUCAGUCAGGUAAGUGUCCGACUUUGGCUCAGAUCAUGAUCUCGUGGUCUGGUGGUUCGAGGCCCACGUCGGGCUCCAUGCUGAUAGCUCAGAGCCUGGAGCCUGCUUUCGGUUCUGUGUCUCCCUCUCUCUCUCUCUGCCCCUCUCCCACUCACACUCUGUCCCUCUCUCUCUCAAAAUAAUAAAUAAAUAUUUUAAAAAGUUUUAAUACUUCUAAGUUAUCUGAGUUUAACUAGGGAGGAUUUGGGAGGUCUGCAGUGUCACGGGACUGUCUGGUUGAGCAUAAAAGCUCAUCCACUUUCAUAGUAAAACUAUCUUUACUGCUUAUAUAUAUUUAUGUUUUCAUAGCACGGACCCGGCCACUAGAAUAUAUCGCUAUAUAACUUUGCUUUAAGUUGAGUGAAGUGUGAGUUUUACCUGAAGUGCUGUUUUAGCAUUAUUUGCAAUAGCUAAACUGCAGAAGUAGCCCAAGUGUCCACCGGUUGGUGAACGGAUAAAGAGGAAAUGGUGUAUAUAUACAAGGGAAUAUUACUCGGCCAUAAAAAAGAAUGAAACCUUGCCAUUUGCAAAAACAUGGAUGGAGCUAGAGACUAUUAUACUAAAUGAAAUCAGUUAGAGAAAAAUAUCAUGUGAUUUCACUCUUAGGUGGAAUUUAAGAAACAAAACAAAUGAACAACAGGAAAAAAAAAGGCAAACCAAAAAAUGGGCUGUUAAUUACAGAGCACAUAGGGGACGUAGGUGAGAGGAUUGGUAAAGUCGGUGAAGGGAAUUAAGAGUACACUUGACGAGCACGGAGUGCUGUAUGCAAUUGUUGAAUCGGCCUGUUUUACACCUGAAACUGAUACAACACUAGUAUGUUAACUACAUGAAUGAAAAUAAAAAAAUAAAGUGCUGUUUUAAUGAUUUUUAUAGAGUUUUCUUAGUUCCUGGUAAUUUUUUUAUCAAACCAGAUGGGAAAGGAUGAUUGUAUCUUUACUGUGUUAAUUCAUUUAAUACUCAGAAGUGAAAUAAUUUGUCCAGGGUCAUACAACCAGUAAGUGGCGUCAAGUGGCUUGGAGCUAGAACCCGGGCUUUCAAAAUUAGCUGCUAUGCGGGGCGCCUGGAUGGCUCAGGCGGUUAAGCGUCCGACUUCGGCUCAGGUCGUGAUCUCGCGGUUCUUGAGUUCGAGCCCCGCGUCGGGCUCUGUGCUGACGGCUUGGAGCCUGGAGCCUGCUUCGGAUUCUGUGUGUGUGUCUCUCUUUCUCUGCCCCUUACCCGCUCAUGCUCUGUCUCUCUCUGUCUCUGAAAAAAUGAAUAAAUACUAAAAAAAAAUAAAAUAAAAUUACUAUGCAAGAAUAGUCUACUUGGUUAUCAGGAUCUGUACACUGAAGGCAGAUUUCAGUCUUAUCUGUAAUAUAUGUAUAGAAGGUAAUUUUCUGCUAAAAGGUAGCCGCAGAGGGUUCCUAAAUAUCUCAGACAAUUAAAAUGCCUGGCCCACAGGAAGACGGUUGACCAAUAGGUUAUGAGAGGCCCUCGUUCCAUCUUAGCCUCUGUAAGUUUCUAAUUUUGUAAUUCCAUACACACACGUAUGAAAUGUGUAAUUCCUGUUACAAGACGGAAUAAUAUUGAGGACAAAAGUGAGUAAGAAUUAAUCAAUCGAAGGUGGCCAUGUUACAAGGGUGAUAAGCAGAGAAAUAAGAAUCAAGUAAUUAGUCAUAUCGGUGCUUGGUGUUCAGCUGAACUCCUCUUUUUGAUUUUCUCCCAAGGCUGAUGUUUAAACAUGAAUUUAUGGGCGGAUUGCCCCAUUUUUACACUUUGGUCAAGAUGGUUAUUUCUGAGGAAAGUGCUAAUUCAGGUUCCCAGGGUUUUAUCGGGAUGUCUCAUUCAGGUCAGCUAGAGCUGUUGAUUGUAGACAUGUACCUCUUAUGUGGCAUGUAGAAGAUCUUAGAGCCCAGAGAGGUUUUAGAGAUGACCUGAUCAUUGCAUUUAUUUAGCUUAUGAAGAAACUACUGCAUGGAACAGCUGUGUGGUUUGCCCGAGGAUGGAUAUGCCUCUUUUCUCGGAGAGAAGUAUGUAGAGUAGAAGUGGAACCUCUGAGUCUAUAUAUCUGACAUUCCUGUGUCUCCUUCGUAAUUUCUUCAAAUUUAGAAUGAGGCAAGAUAAAUAGUUGAAAUAUCAACAUUGAGCGUAGCUCUUGCCACAGUUGAUUCCAGUGUUUUUUAUUGAUUUCAAAAGAACCAGCUUUUGAUUUUUCUUGAUUUUAUUUUCUAUUUCAUGGAUUUCUUGCCUGAUAUUUAUUAUUUCUUUUCUUUCUUUUACUUUGGGUUCCUUUGCUCUUUUUUCUAGUUUUUUGUUUUUUGUUUUUUUUUUUCUUUUUAGAGAGUGCGAGCAGGGGAAGGGCCGAGGGGACGGGGGAGAGAGAAUCUUAAGCAGGCUCCGUGCCCAGCAUGGAGUCCAAGGUGGGGCUCCAUCCCAUGACCCUGGGAUCAUGACCUGAACCAAACUCACGUUGGACACUCAACUGACUGAGUCACUCAGGUACGCCCACUCUUUUUCUAGUUUCUUAAUAUGGAAACUGGAGUCACUGAUUUGAGUCCUUUCUUACGUGUUUAGUCUUGGAAAUUUACUCCAGAUUCUGCUUAAUUCACAUCCCAUCAAUGUUGAUAUGUUAUACUUUCAUUUUCAUUCAGUUAAAACAAUUUUCUAAUUUCACUUUUGAUUUCAUCUUUGACCCAUGGGUCAGACUAGAACUAUGCCAGUUUGCAGUUAUUUGAAGAUUUUUCCAGGUACCUUUUGGUACUGAUUUUGAAUCAGUUCCAUGUGGUUGGAAGACAUACCUUGCAUGACACGAGUCUUUAUGUACCUGGGCUUGUUUUUUGGCCCAAAAUGUGGUCUGUGGUAGAAGCAUUUCAUCUGCAUUUGAGGAAAAUGUAUUCAGUGUUCAGUCGUGUGUUUUGCUGUUUGCCAUUAGGUAGAGUUUUCUAUUAUGUCAUAAUGUGCUGUGGAUGUCAAGGCAAGUUGGUUGACAGUGUGUUUCAGGUCUCGUAUGUUCUUGCUGAUUUGCUCUUUGUUCUAGCAAUUAAUUAUUGAGAGAGCUCUUCCUGUCCUAGCUGAGUAAAUAGUUUCAUCCUUCUCAUUUCUUGGUUGACGAAUCAUCCCGUAUCCAACUAAUCAGCAAAUCCUGGCAUUGAAUCUGCCUGCUGACCAUCACUACUGCCACUGGAUUCGUUCAAGCCACCAUAAAAUCUCUGUCUUGUGAAGCAGAUUGAAAAACAGGAUUCCAGCAAUUUGCACCUCCUUUCUUCAGGAUAGGGAGUCUUUGCCUCCCCCGUGAGUCUGGGCUUGGCAUUGUACUGGCUUUGAUAAAUAGAAUGUGAUAGAAGUGACGUGUGAGAUUUGGACCCGAGGCAUCAAGACGGCAUGCCUCUCCUGUCUCUGCUCUUUGAAACCGGUUGCCUUAAGGGAGGUCAGACUCUAUGGAGAGAGAGGCCCAGCCAAGAUGAGCUAAGUGCCAGAGGCCUUGAUGUGUGAAUGAGACCAUCUUAGACUCUCCUGCCCCAGCGGAGCUGCCAGUUGACUGUAACGAGCAGGAGAACAGUCCAGCUGAUCACGGCCUGAACUGCUAACCCCCAUGAUUCCUGGAAAUAAUACAUGGUGGUUUUUUGAA